UCUCGGAGGAAUUUUGUCGUGUGUGCAGCAAUUCCCGUGAUUAUCUUCAGAGUGGAGAGACAGAAAAAGUUUGGAAAGCCGAAUGAAAUUGCACAUCAUUGUUGGCUGCAGUACGUGUUGCUAGUGACAGGGCUUCUCACCGGCAUAUGGGUGCAAUCACAGAUCUAGUUGACCUCAAAGAUACUGAAAAAUUAUCACCCUUUGCAUAGAGUAAGCAUCCAAAAGGUCCGAGUUAAAAUGGUUUAUUCAGUAAUGUAUGCAAGGCACU